rnacentral:lncRNA from 1 species
UUUAGAUCCACCACUUUGACUUUGCCAGAAAACAGGUAAGCUUAUUUAAUAUUUUUUCUAAAUUAGGUUAAAUUAAUUCUAAUUUCUAAGUUCAAAUUUAUUUAUAUCUUCCAUAUAGUUUUGUGUGUGAUCAAUAAAGUUACUGUAAAGUGAAUUUGCAUAUUGUAUUUGAACUUCCACUUCCUUUCUACUAGAAUGUGAAUCAAAUUCUAUUUCUUCACGUGUUGUUUUAGAUCUUUGGAGUGAGGGUCUAAACUUCAGAAGUAGAAACAAGUUGUGGUUAAUUUCUUGUGUUUUUUUGUAUGAUGUGAUGUAACUCACUUAGUUUAAAAAGAAUUCAUUUGUAACUCUUAUGUGAUGCAAGAUUAGUCAUUAUAUUAUCCCUGAAUGUCUCAAAAUGAGCAGAUGGUCAACUCCACAUGUUAGGCGUUAAAGCUAAUUGGUGUGAAAGACAUUUUCUCAAAUGUGAUUCUCAUGUUUUACUUGAUGUUACCUAUAUGGAAAAAUAUAUUCAUGAUAUGUUUGCUACAGUUUUAUGGAAAAAACAAUGAGCGAAUUCUAAUGGCAUACAUAUUGAAAAGAUCACCAGCCUCAACUUUCAUCACUUAGUCUUGCGAAUUCUAAUCACCUGCGCAUCGCACAGGUAUAUUUACUAGUUUUCAUAAUGAUACAAUCUUGGUAUGUAUAACAAUACAUUGGAUGAUCCCAUUAUAUUCUGCACAUUCUUAAUCAUCUCCAGCCACAUUCUAGCUUACACUUUAAACAUAGAGAUUCUAUAUAUUUGAAGAACACCAACUCUAACCCUCAACUCUAUUUUACACUCUAAAAAAGAAUUUCUUCUCUCUUCAACUCAUUUAUAUUUCUUAUCUGAUAACUUAAAUUUUUCUUAUUAUUUUUGUUUCAUUUAUAUUUCUUAUUUCAUAAUUAUUUUUUACCCUAAAUUUAAGCAAAUAUUAUAUAUUAUUUAUAUUCAUGGACAAUUCAAAUAAAAGUAAAAUUACUGAUGAAAUACAAUUAAAUAAAUAUCGUAUCAUGGUAAAAUUUAUUUAUUUAUACAUAAAUAAUCGACUUUCAAAAUUAAAAUGUUGCUCUAAUAAAUGCUCUAUUAAUGCACUAGGAAGUUUAAAAUGAGCAUUUUUAUCUUUAAUUUUUGUAUGUCUAACAAAAAGUUGUUCAAAUCAAUAAUUCCAUCUACCACCAUUUAUAUGAAAAUUAAAUUAAUAAAAUUUUAAAUUAAUAUAAUUAAAUAUUUUUAAAUUAAAAAUAAUUAUAAAUAUUAGAGACUUAAUUAAUUAUCAAAUACAAUUUAUAUUAUGUUAAAUUGUAAUUGUUAUAUCAUAUAAAUAUUAAUAUUAUCAUCAAAAGGUAAAAUAAAGGGAUAAAUAGUAGCUCUCUGUGUCUGGAGUGUUACUACUUACCCUCUCUAUUUAUAGAGUUUAGAGAGAAAUAAAAAGUGAUUAUAGUUGCACUCUCUAUUUUUCUUUCUCCAAAUAUAGAGUAUAGAGAUGGGGUUGAAGAUGCCCUUUAAGCAUUUCAUGCAUAUAAUUUACUUUUAGUAUUUAACAUAUAGAAAAUGAAAAGGAAAGCUCAUCUAAUAGCAUUCCAAUUGGCAUUAGAUUGUACUACCACCUAAAUAACCUCUGACAACAACAAGAUGUUAAUUCAAAGAAAACGAGGUAUAAUAGAUAAGGUUGAAAACUAUUUGUACAAAUCCUACAGUAAGGAAUGUUUGGUGUGAGGUAUAAGGUAUAAUAGUCCAAAAUAAAAUGUAAGAUUAUUUUAUCCUUCAUUUUAUUGAAAGAAUUAUUCAUCCCACCAUUAUAUCAUAGUUAAAUUAUCCUACAUACAUGGUGGAAUAACUAAUUGUUGCAAGCUUGUCACACCUGAAUCAGGGUCUAGCCGUGACAUGUAUCUCAAGCCCAUCGUGGGCCAAAGACCGCCCCUAGCCUAACUACCUAAGCAUAAUAAAAUAAUAGUUAAAGCAAAAUCAAAUAAUAAGAGUGAUAUAUAAACCAAUAAGAAGGUUCUAAGAAUCCAAAACAAAUAACCAACCCAUACUUUGUCCACAAAGCCUCUAAAACCAGAAUACCAAAUUAGCUCGGAACAUUCCCCCGACCAUGACAAUGAAACUCUUCAAUUUCCAAAAUAUGAAAAUAAACCUAAUGAAAUGGUAAAGCUUUGCCGAUGAUGGAGGAUCACCAAUUCACUGCAACUCAAUCGAUAUCCGCUCCACCUAAGACUACACAUGAGUAAACAAAGAACCCUAGGACCUUUCAUCAUGAAAUGAUGUAGCGUCCAGGGAUGGUCAAUGGGAUAAGUAUUGGAAUAUAACUCGAGAAAUUGAUAAAAUAAUUCUAUGUCCAAAACUAGUUGAACCACAUGCACACAUUCAUACAUACAUAUAUAUAAGAUGCCAGGAUAGGGUACAAGGAUCAUGAAUAUGAGAUUUUUAAAACUAUUAACCUGGAUUGUGUAGCUCUAUCUAUAUUAAGGGAACCCAUGGGCUAUAUGGGUUCAGCUCCCCCUACUUAAAGGUUUAUAACAUGUUUUAGAUGAACAAACUAAGGAAAUCUGAGAGAGGGCUAGAGACACCAAGCCUCCAACUAUCCCAAAAAUAUUUGUAAUGUGUAAACCAUGCACACGGUCAUAAUGACCCCCACAUCUGCAAACGUAGUUUUCAGUAUUAGUCCCUCCGAUACCUCCACCUUCAUAGUGAGCUACAUAACUCUCUUUAAGCCCAAACUAAAGCAUUUAUACAUAUUUGAUAUGCUAUGAAUUAAUAGCACUUUCGACGCUUACAACUAUGAAAAUAUACAAAUUUCUUAGGUUGUUUUGUGAGAUAUGAUGUGUUUUGGGUAUGUUUUGCAGAAAUUAUGUUUUAGAUGCUAAACUAAAGAAAAAGAUGAAAAUUGAAGUUUUUGGCUACUUACCGAGGCCAUUCUGGGUGUAGGUGAUACUUACCGAGUGUAGGUUAUCCAAGUAUGUGUUAGAACUUGAAUUCCAGAGGCUCAGAAGCAUGAAAAAGAAAACUCUGUAACUUACUAAGGGCACAUACAGUCCAUAUAUAGAAGAUACGGUUCGUAUGUGACCAAGAAUGUUACAGAAGUCCAAGUUCAGAGAGAUACAAGAUCUACAUAGAAGUUCUGGCACUUACCUA